rnacentral:lncRNA from 1 species
GAUUAACUCCUCUUCUACUUAUCCUCAUUGGCAAGUUGUCCAGCUAGCUGUGGUAGGGAGUAACACUCUGGUCAGGAGGAUACCUGGGAGCAGGGGGCAUUCUUCCUUUCCCCAAGCCUAUGAAUAACAUUUUGGAAUCUGGAGUAAGACUUUAAAUUUAGAAUUCAAUUUGAAAUUUUCUGACUCCUUGGAGUUCUGUGCCAGAAUAUGAAGGUAGGAAACAGUUGGCUCAUGGCCCCAAAUUUUGGUCUACCCCUUUUCUCUCUCUUCCUCCCUCAGCUCUAUCUUGCCCAAUAAAAAAGAGGACACCUUGAACCGCUUCCCAACAACUAUGCCUGACCAUCCUUCUGCCUAGAGAUGUGCACAUCAGCAGCUCAAGCUGCCCUUAAGAGAAUGGACUACGAAGAAGGUCCAGAAGCGGAAGACCCAAUCUCUGAACUGAAGAGGGCUUUAAAAAACCCCAAACAUUUGAACAUCGCCAACGACAAGGUACUCCUGAACAAUAAUACUAAAGAGCUGACUAUUACCACAUGCCAGGUGUGACACUGUCUCCUGCAAUCUGCAAAGCCGCACCUGAAGCGUGGGCCCUGAUUUCCUUGCUCUGCAUACAAGGAAGAUGUGGAGUGGUUUGGAACCUGCUAAGUGACACCCUGACAGUCGGACCUCAGAGCUCCCCAAGGUACUCGUCUUCCUGCAGUCAGUUUUCUGAGGUCUUCAGGCAGAAAGAUGCAGGAGAGAGAUAAAGCCAUCUUUCCCCCCUGAAGUCUGCUGGCAAGAUUGGUGUCCCUCUUUGGUCCUAAAUCAGCAACACUAUUUAUGCUUACUGGCCCCUGGCUCAUUCUCUGGCUGGUGAUAUAACUAUGACAUGUAACACUGAGCUACAGCUUUGAGAUUAACAACAACAAUAUCAAGAAGAAUAUUAGAAAUAGUAAUAGCAAUGCUGGUGGUGCUGAUGACGGUGACAACAUUUAUAGCACACUGACUACUUGCCAAAAAGUUCUAUGAAUUUCCAUGAUGUUCUACACUUAUGCCUCACAAAAAACCUAUGAAGCCAAUACUACUUAUCCCCAUAUUUCAGGUGAGAAACCAGAGGCACGAAGAGAUAAAAUAGCUUGCCUGAAGUCACACAACCAGUGAGAGAUGCUUUGAUAAUUGAAUUCAGGAAGUUCGAUGGUAUUGCACAGAAAUUAAAAGUGCCCACAUAUCUCCUCACUAGGGAAGUGUGUUUUCAGUUCCAACUUCACAUAAAAGAAAAUUUUGCCUGUCAAAGAGAGAUAAAGUCCACCACCUGCCACACUAGCAGGCAGGGAAUGCGGACUUCACAGCACUGUAGCUGUCAGGGAAAACUUAGGAUAGAGAAGCAAGAUGCUGGAGUAACGUGCAAUCAUUUCCUUACUUUGUAAAGAAACAAAGAGACAUGUCAGAAGUGCUUUUCAAGUCAGGUAUGACCAAGGCUUAAAAUUUGGGGCACCCGAGUGGCACAGUUGGUUCUGACUCUUGGUUUUGACUCGGGUCCUGAUCUCAGGGUUGUGAGAUUGAGUCCUGCGCUGGCUGGGCUCUGCACUGUGCACGGAGACAGCUUGAGAGUCUCUUCCCUCUCCCUCUGCACCUCCUGCUUGUGCUCGCAUGCUCUCACUCUCAAAUAAAUAAAUAAAUGUUUAAAAAUGAAAAAUAAAAUAAAUUAAAAUCUGAUUACACUACUUAGUGGAUGUGUAACUUCAGACGAAUUACUUGACCUAUAAUGGUCUUGGUUUCCCUAUUCCUG